AUACCUUUCUCGGCCUUUUGGCUAAGAUCAAGUGUAGUAUCUGUUCUUAUCAAUUUAAUAUUUGAUAUGUGAGUCAUUGACUCACACGAUAUUAACUUUAUUUUUUGAGGGGGAAGGACUAUUACGGUAGCUUGCUAUUGGGACCUUCAAUCAUUGCCAUGGUGUUGCACUAUAACCUUGGCCUGGUGCACCCCAC